rnacentral:rRNA from 1 species
AUGCAAGUCGAACGAUGAUGCCCAGCUUGCUGGGUGGAUUAGUGGCGAACGGGUGAGUAACACGUGAGUAACCUGCCCUUAACUCUGGGAUAAGCCUGGGAAACUGGGUCUAAUACCGGAUAUGACUCCUCAUCGCAUGGUGGGGGGUGGAAAGCUUUUUGUGGUUUUGGAUGGACUCGCGGCCUAUCAGCUUGUUGGUGAGGUAAUGGCUUACCAAGGCGACGACGGGUAGCCGGCCUGAGAGGGUGACCGGCCACACUGGGACUGAGACACGGCCCAGACUCCUACGGGAGGCAGCAGUGGGGAAUAUUGCACAAUGGGC